AUUGAACGCUGGCGGCAUGCUUUACACAUGCAAGUCGAACGGUAACAGGCCUUCGGGUGCUGACGAGUGGCGCACGGGUGAGUAAUGCAUCGGAACGUGCCCAGAGGUGGGGGAUAACGCAGCGAAAGCUGUGCUAAUACCGCAUGUGAUCUGAGGAUGAAAGCGGGGGACCAGGCAGCAAUGUUUGGCCUCGCGCCUUUGGAGCGGCCGAUGUCCGAUUAGGUAGUUGGUGGGGUAAAGGCCUACCAAGCCGACGAUCUGUAGCUGGUCUGAGAGGACGACCAGCCACACUGGGACUGAGACACGGCCCAGACUCCUACGGGAGGCAGCAGUGGGGAAUUUUGGACAAUGGGCGCAAGCCUGAUCCAGCAAUGCCGCGUGCGGGAAGAAGGCCUUCGGGUUGUAAACCGCUUUUGUACGGAACGAAAAGGCUCUGGCUAAUACCUGGGGCUGAUGACGGUACCGGAAGAAUAAGCACCGGCUAACUACGUG
rnacentral:rRNA from 1 species